rnacentral:rRNA from 1 species
UACAGAGGGGGCAAGCGUUGUUCGGAAUUACUGGGCGUAAAGGGCGCGUAGGCGGCCUUCUAAGUCGAACGUGAAAUCCCCGGGCUCAACCCGGGAACUGCGUCCGAUACUGGAAGGCUUGAAUCCGGGAGAGGGAAGCGGAAUUCCGGGUGUAGCGGUGAAAUGCGUAGAUAUCCGGAGGAACACCGGUGGCGAAGGCGGCUUCCUGGACCGACACUGACGCUGAGGCGCGAAAGCUAGGGGAGCAAACGGG